rnacentral:rRNA from 1 species
GACGAACGCUGGCGGCGUGCUUAACACAUGCAAGUCGAACGGUGAAGGGGCCGGUUUUUGCUGGUUCUGGAUGAGUGGCGAACGGGUGAGUAACACGUGAGUAACCUGCCCCCUUCUUCUGGAUAACCGCAUGAAAGUGUGGCUAAUACGGGAUAUUCUGCGCCUGCUGCAUGGUGGGUGUGGGAAAGAUAUUGUUUCGGUGGGGGAUGGGCUCGCGGCCUAUCAGCUUGUUGGUGGGGUGAUGGCCUACCAAGGCGGUGACGGGUAGCCGGCCUGAGAGGGUGGACGGUCACACUGGGACUGAGACACGGCCCAGACUCCUACGGGAGGCAGCAGUGGGGAAUAUUGCACAAUGGGCGCAAGCCUGAUGCAGCGACGCCGCGUGAGGGAUGGAGGCCUUCGGGUUGUAAACCUCUUUCGCCAGUGAAGCAGGCCUGUCCCUUUUGUGGGUGGGUUGACGGUAGCUGGAUAAGAAGCGCCGGCUAACUACGU